GGGGUUAUGGCUCAGUGGUAAAGUGCUCUCUUAGCAGGUGUGAGGCACUGGGUUCAAUUCUUAACACCA
rnacentral:tRNA from 1 species